UACGGGGGGAGCAAGCGUUGUUCGGAUUUACUGGGCGUAAAGGGCGCGUAGGCGGCCUCCGCAAGUCAAUUGUGAAAUCUCCGGGCUUAACUCGGAAAGGUCAACUGAUACUGCGGGGCUAGAGUGCGGAAGGGGCAACUGGAAUUCUUGGUGUAGCGGUGAAAUGCGUAGAUAUCAAGAGGAACACCUGCGGCGAAGGCGGGUUGCUGGGCCGACACUGACGCUGAGGCGCGAAAGCGUGGGGAGCAAACAGG
rnacentral:rRNA from 1 species